ACCUCGGUGGUGUAGUGGUAGCACGCGUCCCCGGUAUGUAUGGAUGAAACGUGGGUUCGACUCCCGCCUGAGGUC